AAUCCGUGAGUCAUCGAAUCUUUGAACGCACAUUGCGCCCUCUGGUAUUCCGGGGGGCAUGCCUGUUCGAGCGUCAUUAUCACCCCUCAAGCCCGGCUUGUUGUUGGACGUCGGCGGCGGCCUUUAGUGGCGUACCGCCCGUCUCAAAGAUAAUGACGGCGUCUGUGAGGACACCUGUACACUGAGCUUUCGGGCACGUACUAGGCUGAUACUUGCAGACCCGGUCUUCGGGUUCGCUUCGGCGUUCCCAACUUUUAUACCAAGGUUGACCUCGGAUCAGGUAGGAAUACCCGCUGAACUUAAGCAUAUCAAUAAGCGGAGGAAAAGAAACCAACAGGGAUUGCCUUAGUAACGGCGAGUGAAGCGGCAACAGCUCAAAUUUGAAAUCUGGCCUCUUUGGGGUCCGAGUUGUAAUUUGGAGAGGAUGUUUCGGGUACGGUCCGGGCUUAUAUUUCUUGGAACAGAAUGUCAUAGAGGGUGAGAAUCCCGUCUGGAGUCCGGACACGGCCUAUGUGAAACUCCUUCGACGAGUCGAGUUGUUUGGGAAUGCAGCUCUAAAUGGGUGGUAAAUUUCAUCUAAAGCUAAAUAUUGGCCAGAGACCGAUAGCGCACAAGUAGAGUGAUCGAAAGAUGAAAAGCACUUUGAAAAGAGAGUUAAAAAGUACGUGAAAUUGUUGAAAGGGAAGCGCUGGCAACCAGACUUGCAUGUCGGGGUUCCCCCUUGCUUUUGCCUGGGUUACUCCCCGGCGUUCAGGCCAACAUCGGUUUCGGGGGUUGGUUAAAGGCCUUAGGAAUGUACUUACCCUCCGGGGUAAACUUAUAGCCUAGGGUGUCAUGCGACCUCC
rnacentral:rRNA from 1 species